rnacentral:lncRNA from 1 species
GUUCGCGCUGGUGGAGCACCCCAGCUUGCAGGUUCAGCGUGGGUGUCUCUCCCGGGCACAUCGAGCUGUCUAGAGGAACCCUCUUCCCCUGGCUUCACGGCCCAGAGGACGCACGGCUCUCUCCCCUCGAGAGCGUGUUUCGUCGCCCGCGCGGGGAACGCAAAGUGCUAGGGUAGUCACGGCCACUUCACGCCGAGGGACAUCUCAUCUCGCCCUCCAGGUCGUGAGCGCACCCAUUCCGCUCACUGAGGCCGAAAGCUUCGGACCUCCGUGGGCCCUGAGACUUCAGCGUUCCAUGUCUGCUGUGCUGUGGAACCCAGAGUGCUCUUGCCUGGAUGGCUGAGAAUCCCUUGGACCCUGGAAGCACCUACUCCAUGAUGGCCCGCAGGAGGACCAAACUGGAGACAGUCCUGGCUCUGAGGAAACAGGAAGGAAGGAGGGUGAAAGGAACGUCCACCUGCACACAAAGGAAAGAUGAAAAAGAGUCACCUACCAUGGGACCUGGCAAAGUACUUCAGAACUUUUAUUCCUUCCAGAAGCAGGAAUCUUGUGCCGAAAGCAGGUAAUGAAGACCACAAA